UUGGGUCAGAAUCCCUUCAUAGUCUAUACUUGGACAAUACAAGAGAAGUGAAGAAAGGAAGAGUCUCUUAAUUAGGGUGAAAACAAAAUACUUGAUGGAUCAUAGUUGAGUUAAAUCUCUUCAUGGUCCAUGCUUGUUCAAGUUUUACACCUUAAUCAAGAGACAUUAUAAGAGAAACCAUACGAAGGCUCUCUAAUUCAUUG
rnacentral:lncRNA from 1 species